GCUUCCCGUAGCCAUCCUCGCCUGCCUUCUCGCGCUGUUUCUAGCUCUCGCCAUCCCUCGGCGUACUCUUCCUCUCCUCCGAGUCAGAGUACCCUGGAGGGAUAAUGCUCUGCAGCACUGGCUAGAACUUCCAUCCCUGUGGUGAAUAAGAGUGAUGAAAGUGGACACCAUCGUAUUAUUGAAUUGAAGGGGUGAGGAAACCGUGGCAAAAACAGAUGAAAUAAGUCAUCUGAAGCCAUACAACCAGUAAGUGUUUGAUUUGGACUUCUGGCAGUCUCCUGUUUCCCAGAUGCCCGGCUCCUCACUGACGUGCACAUAACAGCAAAUCUAUAACAAUCCUCCUUCCAAUUACAUCAGGUGGUGGGGGGGGGGGCGCGAGCAGGAGGGCAUAAGAAGGUCAGUACCCUAGAAGGCAGCCUCAUUUACUCAUCCACUAAGAAAAUAAUGACUGAACACCUACCAGGUUCCAGGCACUUGGGAAAAGGCAGUGAGCAAGACUGAUGAAGGCCCCAGCCCGCAAAGCCUCAUAUUCAAAAGCUGGGACAGAGAUGAGAGAAAAGUAAAGAAAUAAACAAGACAUCCUGGAUGGCGAUAAAUGCCAUGAAGAUAAUAAAACAGGGUUAUGUGAUAGAAAAUGGCCAGAAAUGAGGAUAGCAGGUUUGAUGGAGGUCUUUUCAAGAGGACAUGCAAUCAGGACCCAAUCAUGCAAUGAUGUGUGGGAAGAACCUUCCCAUAGGCCGGAGGGAGGGAUGGGCUUGGUUUAUGUGACAAAGGCUAAGUGGCUGUAGCAGAGAGAACUAAGGGAAGAGAAGCAGAGGCUAGAUGAUGGUGAGCCUUAUAAUCGAUUCAAAGACAUUCCAAGUAAGUGCAAAAGGAGGCCAUCAGAGGGGCCCUUGUGGACAUUGCAAUACAAUGUUGAAGUCCAAAAACAAUAGUCUAUUCAUUGACCUACCCUUAUUUCCUAAACUCUAAAUAAUGCUCAAUAAUUUUUUUUUAACCAAUUUACAAAUGGUUUUUUUACUUGUGCCUUCGUUUUGUUUUUGUUUUUUGUUUUGUUUUGUUGUUAUACUUCUAGCGUACAAUGUGCAGGUUUGUUACAUACGUAUACAUGUGCCAUGUUGGUGUGCUGCACCCAUUAACUCAUGAUUUAUAUUAGGUAUAUCUCCUAAUGCUAUCCCUCCCCCCUCCCCCCACCCCACCAUAGGCCCCAGUAUGUGAUGUUCCCCACCCUGUGUCCAAGUGUUCUUAUUUUCACUUCCCACCUGUGAGUGAGAACAUGCGGUAUUUGGUUUUCUGCCCUUGUGAUAGUUUGCUCAGAAUGAUGGUUUCCAGCUUCAUCCAUGUCCCUACAAAGGACAUGAAUUCAUCCUUUUUAUGGCUGCAUAGUAUUCCAUGGUGUAUAUGUGCCACAUUUCCUUAAUCCAGUCUAUCAUUGAUGGACAUUUGGGUUGGUUCCCAGUCUUUGCUAUUGUGAAUAGUGCCG
rnacentral:lncRNA from 10 species